GGGAACAUACCCUUUUCUACGGAAUAGCUCUGGGAAACUGGAAUUAAUACCGUAUACGCCCUACGGGGGAAAGAUUUAUCGGGGAAGGAUUGGCCCGCGUUGGAUUAGCUAGUUGGUGGGGUAAAGGCCUACCAAGGCGACGAUCCAUAGCUGGUCUGAGAGGAUGAUCAGCCACAUUGGGACUGAGACACGGCCCAAACUCCUACGGGAGGCAGCAGUGGGGAAUAUUGGACAAUGGGCGCAAGCCUGAUCCAGCCAUGCCGCGUGAGUGAUGAAGGCCUUAGGGUUGUAAAGCUCUUUCACCGAUGAAGAUAAUGACGGUAGUCGGAGAAGAAGCCCCGGCUAACUUCGUGCCAGCAGCCGCGGUAAUACGAAGGGGGCUAGCGUUGUUCGGAAUUACUGGGCGUAAAGCGCACGUAGGCGGAUAUUUAGGUCAGGGGUGAAAUCCCAGAGCUCAACUCUGGAACUGCCUUUGAUACUGGGUAUCUUGAGUAUGGAAGAGGUAAGUGGAAUUGCGAGU
rnacentral:rRNA from 1 species